AGUAAACGGCGGCCGUAACUAUAACGGUCCUAAGGUAGCGAAAUUCCUUGUCGGGUAAGUUCCGACCCGCACGAAAGGCGCAACGAUCUGGGCACUGUCUCAACGAGAGACUCGGUGAAAUUAUAGUACCUGUGAAGAUGCAGGUUACCCGCGACAGGACGGAAAGACCCCGUGGAGCUUUACUGCAACCUGAUAUGGAAUGUUUGUACCGCUUGUACAGGAUAGGUAGGAGCCGAAGAGACGUGUGCGCUAGCAUACGAGGAGGCAAUGGUGGGAUACUACCCUGGCUGUAUGACCAUUCUAACCCGCCACGCUUAGCGCGUGGGGAGACAGUGUCAGGUGGGCAGUUUGACUGGGGCGGUCGCCUCCUAAAGAGUAACGGAGGCGCCCAAAGGUUCCCUCAGAAUGGAUGGAAAUCAUUCGCAGAGUGUAAAGGCACAAGGGAGCUUGACUGCGAGACUGACAAGUCGAGCAGGGACGAAAGUCGGGCUUAGUGAUCCGGUGGUUCCGCAUGGAAGGGCCAUCGCUCAACGGAUAAAAGCUACCCCGGGGAUAACAGGCUUAUCUCCCCCAAGAGUCCACAUCGACGGGGAGGUUUGGCACCUCGAUGUCGGCUCGUCGCAUCCUGGGGCUGUAGUCGGUCCCAAGGGUUGGGCUGUUCGCCCAUUAAAGCGGCACGCGAGCUGGGUUCAGAACGUCGUGAGACAGUUCGGUCCCUAUCCGUCGCGGGCGCAGGAAAUUUGAGAGGAGCUGUCCUUAGUACGAGAGGACCGGGAUGGACACACCGCUGGUGUACCAGUUGUUCCGCCAGGAGCAUCGCUGGGUAGCUAUGUGUGGCAGGGAUAAACGCUGAAAGCAUCUAAGCGUGAAGCCCCCCUCAAGAUGAGAUUUCCCAUUUCUUCGGAAAGUAAGAUCCCUGAAAGAUGAUCAGGUAGAUAGGUUUGGAGUGGAAGUGUAGCGAUACAUGGAGCGGACAAAUACUAAUCGAUCGAGGACUUAACCAAAA
rnacentral:rRNA from 1 species